ACGCUGGCGGCGUGCCUAAUACAUGCAAGUCGAACGAGAGCGACCGGUGCUUGCACUGGUCAAUCUAGUGGCGAACGGGUGAGUAACACGUGGGUAACCUGCCCAUCAGAGGGGGAUAACAUUCGGAAACGGAUGCUAAAACCGCAUAGGUCUUCGAACCGCAUGGUUUGAAGAGGAAAAGAGGCGCAAGCUUCUGCUGAUGGAUGGACCCGCGGUGCAUUAGCUAGUUGGUGAGGUACGGCUCACCAAGGCCGUGAUGCAUAGCCGACCUGAGAGGGUGAUCGGCCACAUUGGGACUGAGACACGGCCCAAACUCCUACGGGAGGCAGCAGUAGGGAAUCUUCCGCAAUGGACGCAAGUCUGACGGAGCAACGCCGCGUGAGUGAAGAAGGUUUUCGGAUCGUAAAACUCUGUUGUUAGAGAAGAACAUGUGCUAGAGUAACUGUUAGCGCCCUGACGGUAUCUAACCAGAAAGCCACGGCUAACUACGUGCCAGCAGCCGCGGUAAUACGUAGGUGGCAAGCGUUGUCCGGAUUUAUUGGGCGUAAAGCGAGCGCAGGCGGUUUCUUAAGUCUGAUGUGAAAGCCCCCGGCUCAACCGGGGAGGGUCAUUGGAAACUGGGGAACUUGAGUGCAGAAGAGGAGAGUGGAAUUCCAUGUGUAGCGGUGAAAUGCGUAGAUAUAUGGAGGAACACCAGUGGCGAAGGCGACUCUCUGGUCUGUAACUGACGCUGAGGCUCGAAAGCGUGGGUAGCAAACAGGAUUAGAUACCCUGGUAGUCCACGCCGUAAACGAUGAGUGCUAAGUGUUGGAGGGUUUCCGCCCUUCAGUGCUGCAGUUAACGCAUUAAGCACUCCGCCUGGGGAGUACGACCGCAAGGUUGAAACUCAAAGGAAUUGACGGGGACCCGCACAAGCGGU
rnacentral:rRNA from 1 species